rnacentral:rRNA from 1 species
GAUGAACGCUGGCGGCGUGCCUAAUACAUGCAAGUCGAGCGAACAGACGAGGAGCUUGCUCCUCUGACGUUAGCGGCGGACGGGUGAGUAACACGUGGAUAACCUACCUAUAAGACUGGGAUAACUUCGGGAAACCGGAGCUAAUACCGGAUAAUAUAUUGAACCGCAUGGUUCAAUAGUGAAAGACGGUUUUGCUGUCUCUUAUAGAUGGAUCCGCGCCGCAUUAGCUAGUUGGUAAGGUAACGGCUUAUCAAGGCAACGAUGCGUAGCCGACCUGAGAGAGUGAUCGGCCACACUAGAACUGAGACACGGUCCAGACUCCUACGGGAGGCAGCAGUAGGGAAUCUUCCGCAAUGGGCGGAAGCUUGACGGAGCAGCGCCGCGUGAGUGAUGAAGGUCUUCGGAUCGUAAAACUCUGUUAUUAGGGAAGAACAAAUGUGUAAGUAACUAUGCACGUCUUGACGGUACCUAAUCAGAAAGCCACGGCUAACUACGUG